CUCCAGUGGAGAAUUGUGCAUGGUUUAAUAGCUACAAACAGAUACAGAGCACACCUUGAUCCACAGGUAGUGAAGGGGUGUCCUUUUUGUGGUAUUGCAGAAACUGUUUUUCAUUUAUUUAUUUUUAUAUUGUGAAAGACUUGUGGCUAUAUUGGCUCAAGUAAAAGAAUAGUGCACAGUCUUAGGAGAAGAAUUCUCACCCAUGCUUUUUAUCCAUGGUCCCAAGUAUAAUAAAAGCAAAAAAAGAGAUUCACUUUACAUUUAAGUUCACUUUCACAGGUUACAAAUGUUUAUAACUCAAUAAUACAUGGUUCACAGCUGUUCACGUUUCAUUAAGAUAAGACAGGUUAUAAAUGUUUGAAACUCAUUAAUAAAUGGGUCACUGCUGUUCACUUUACAUUAAGGUGCACUUUCACAGGUUAGGUAUAGCUAUAAUAGUCUCAUGAAGUCAUGAGAUAAAUCGGGAAUCUGGUUUUGAAGGAAAUAAUUAAUAAUAUAUUUAUUAAGCAUUUAUAAUACAUGAGUUAAAAAUGGCUCACUAUUUGGCAGGUAUUGCUUUAAAAUCACCAUUUUUAUUAAUGCAUUUAUUACUACAUAUCAAUGAUUUAUAAUGCAUUUGUAAAUGUCAUUUAUGAACACCUUUAUAAAACCUUUACAAAGGGAAUCUUAAUGUAAAAUGUUACCCCAAAAGCUGCUAAUCUUCUAAUCUUCCCUCAUUUGCAUGCACAUCAGUUUCAUAAACAAUCUGUCAUCAUUUGUUUUUGUUUUUUAUGUUUCUUUUGACAGAUUGAAGCAUCCUGUAUGCCAUAUUUAGUGAACUAUUUCAUUGGAGAAAAUAACAACAACAACAACAACAAAAAUAAUAAUAAUAAUACCACUGUUUUCCCCAAAAAACAAGUGUGCUCAAAUGUUUUGAAAGUGCACCUUGAAGUGUACGUCAAAUCUUUAAAAAGUUUCAUUUAUUUAUUUUUAUAUUGUGAAAGACUUGUGGCUAUAUUGGCUCAAGUAAAAGAAUGGUGCACAGUCUUAGGAGAAGAAUUCUCACCCAUGUUUUUUUUAUCCAUGGUCCCAAUUAUAAUAAAAGCAAAAAAGAGAUCCACUUUACAUUUAAGUUCACUUUCACAGGUUACAAAUGUUUAUAACUCAUUAAUACAUGGUUCACAGCUGUUCAUGUUUCAUUAAGAUUCACCUUGACAGGAUAUAAAUGUUUAAAACUCAUUAAUAAAUGGUUCACUGCUGUUCACUUUACAUUAAGGUGCACUUUCACAGUUUAGGUCUAGCUAUAAUAAUCUUGUGGAGUCAUGAGAUAAACCAGGAAUCUGGUUUUGAAUGAAAUAAUUAAUAAUAUAUUUAUUAAGCAUUUAAAACAAUUGAGUUAAAAAUGGCUCACUAUUUGGCAGGUAUUGCUUUAAAAUCACCAUUUUUAUUAAUGCAUUUAUUACUACUUAUCAAAGGUUUAUAAUGCAUUUGUAAAUGUGUUAUUAGUCAUUUAUGAACACCUUUAUAAACCCUUCACAAAGGGAAUCUUAAUGUAAAAUGUUACCCCAAAAUCUGCUAAUCUUCCCUCAUUUGCAUGCACAUCAGUUUCAUAAACAACGUGUGAUCAUUUGUUUUUGUUUUUUAUGUUUAUUGUGACAGAUUGUAGUGUCCUGGCAUGCCAUAUUUAGGGAACUAGAUAAUAAUAAUAAUAUCAAUACCACUGUUUUCUCUAUUGACCUUAUGGAAAACAAGUGUGCUCAAAUGUUUUGAAAGUGCACCUUGAAGUGUAUGUCAAAUCUUUAAGUGUAUUUGCACAUAAUACAAUAUUAAUUAAAGAAAAGGCCACUUAAGUUCACCUAAAGAGCAUACACUUCCAUGACUGUUUCUUAACACACUUAAGUACAAGUAAAAGCAUACUACAAGUACUAUUUGACAUUACAUUUAAAGUCACAAUAUUUUAAGUGUACUAGACUGCAUCAUUACUAAUAUGUAAUUACAAAUACAUUUCAAUAUAUGACAUACAAAGUUUUAAUAGACAUUAUAUUAAAGUAUGUAUACUUAGACUAAUACAUUUCCAUUUUAUCAUUCCAGGUUCUAUGUUCACAAAACCUCAAGAGACUCCUCUCACUCCACUGCAUGACAACUCAAGGGAAGGUGGUGUUGGCUCUCCACGCCUGAAAGCAUUAUCUUCUGUUGUCAAGCCGUCAGUGGUGCCAAACUGGAAGGAUUGAUUUUAGUGGGGUGUGGUGCCGGUAAGUCAUGAAGCAGUAAGCAAAAAAAAAAAAAAAAAGAUUGUUAGAAUAUUGCUGAUCAAUAUCCCAGAAGGCAGUAAAGCAUGUGUAUGCAUGGUCUCUAUUAGCCUUUCCUCUCAGGAUUUACUUUCAGUUUAGAUUCAUUCAGUAAAAUGAAACAAAUGUAGUUACCACAACUGUAAAGUGACUCUGUGUUGAAAGAUACUGUGAUGGAAUGUCAGAGUGAGGAAAAAAAUGAUGCAUUAAUUGUGUCUUUCCUUUUCCUGCCAAUUAGCGACUUUAUUCAAACUGACAGCCACACGUUUGACAGUGAAUAACUAAAAAAUAAACAAGACAUUAACCAGUUUAUAGCAGCAGGUGUGAUUUUUCUCAUUUCUGCAAAAACAAAAUAUUUUACUAAAAAAGUUGUGAAAUACAAAUGCAAAUAUUAUUUUGCCUCUCUUGCCAAGCUGUCAUUUAAUCAAAGACUUGGUUUCAACUUUAGCUCUCCAUAAAAAACCGGGCCAGAAAAGCUUUGUAUAAUUAUGGAAACUGUAUGUGAAACAUUUGUUUUAAAAUGACCUGUGUGGCUUGACGGCAUGAAAUGCCUGAUUACAUGAGUGGUAUCAUUCUGAUUAAACUAAAUGCUACAUAAUUAAACAUAACGAGUUGUCUAUUUCAGGGAAAACUGCACACUGUAUAUGUGGUCCAUUAUGAAGAUGUUGUCACGUUGUGAAACAUUUUACUCUUCCACAAGUUUGUGUGAAAGAUUUCCUACUGACAACCCUUUUGAAAAGUAAUUACAUACUUUUGGCAUAAUUAAAAAAAAAAAUAAAAAAUAACAUGUUUUUAUCAAAAUGUGGACCUUUUUGGAUUAUCAGAAGUUAUGAAAAUUACAAAUAUAAGUGUCACGGAUACGAACCCCAUGAGUCCCUCCAGUGGCCAGCAGAGGGCACCAUCACCCGAAUACUGACACUUACAUGCAUCCAAACACUCACGUACACUGAUACUGACUACAUUACCCAUAAGCCCCGUACCUUGGACUGAUCACCGGCCAGGUGUUCCCUAUCAGAGACUGCCAUAUAAGCCAGACCUUUGCAUCACCUCUUUGCGAGGUCUUGUUACUGCCACGGCUAACAUUUCUGAGCGCUUUACCCUGUCUUGUUUUCCCAGUUGCCUACCUUUGUUGUUUAUCGAUCUGUGAACCUUUGCUGCCUACCUUUGAACCCUGAUUGUUAUACGGACUGUGAUACUUGCUUGUUACCCCGACCCACUGCUUGGUAUUGACUACGAUUCUGAUAUUCCUGUGACACUGUGUUUGCUGAUCCUGACCCUUCGCCUGUACGACUACGAGUGUUCAAAUAAAAGCUUGCAAAUGGAUCCCAAGUCGAGUUAUUCAUCGUUACAGAAGACCUCGCCCGGACAAGAUCCAGCAGUAUAUGAACAUCUCUGCACCAACCUGGCAGCUCAGGCAAGUCAGAUCGCUGCUAAUCAGCAACAGUUAAAUUGUCUUACCGCCGUCACGGAGGAAUUGGUGAAAGCUAUUCAGAAUCUCCACAGUCCUGUUGUCACA
ensembl:lncRNA